ACUCCGCAGGAGGCGGAGAGGGUGCGGGAGAGUCUGGAGGAGGGAGAUCCAGACGUGCCCCGGGUGAGUUGGGGGCUCUUCCCGGGCAAAGGGAGGCGGAGGAGGGAGAGACCCGCGCCCGGCCCUCCUCCGGCUUCAACUCCGGGUCCCAUGCUCCCCAGCCGCCCUCUCCAUGCUGGGAGGAAAGCGGAGCUCCAAAGCAGCAGCAGCAGAAGAAGAACCGGGGAUCCCAGGAAAGCGGCGGAGAUCCAGAGAUCCUUUACCGUGUCCGGGGAAGAGCCGAGUGGGGGGAGAGGAGGGUCGGCCUUGCGGAGGCCCAGCAGGAGAGGAGAGAAGCCGAGCGAGGAGGAGGCAGGAUUCGCACCAGGCUCCCCAAGGGCCCGAUCCUGUCUCCGGAGGGGGAGAGAAGCGGGGCGGCCUCUCCAGCUGCUUCCUUCCCGGCCCUGCUGGGUGGGUGGGGGGACCUUGGCCCUUCGCUUGGAUGGCCCGCUUGGAGCUCCGGAUUGUGUGAACCUGCCUGAGUGUCAGAGGGAACCCUCGGCUCUUCUCCAAAGGGCAUCCUCAGCUAGGGUCGUUUCCUGCCAUUUUAUUGGAUGUGAAUUGAACUUUCAUGGUUUGUUCACCUUUUUUGGGGUUUGACAGGUUGUGGAGGUAAAUAUAGAUCUAGGUUUUAAAAAGGAAGCCCUUUCUUGUAAGGAAAAAUAGUGCACCCACACUUACACAAAUACACACGUAUGUGCAUGAAACAGGACCUGCUGAAUGCCACUGCGAUCCUAUUCCAGGUUACAAAAAUACCUUCUUCCACAGGGACGACUGCUGCUUCAUUGUUAAAAUUCUCAACUUUCUACUUCUUGGGAUUUUUUUCUUUGCAUCUCAGGUGCAGGAAAUUUUGGUAAAAUUAUCUCCUGGGGGGAAAAAGAGCUGAAUGGCCGCCUGUGAUCAUUCCGGUGACUGUAGGAUCGGCCCUAUCGCUGAAAAGGCAUUUGGAGCGCCACAACAUCCCUUGAACCCAAUUGGAAUUACGUUAGAGGACAGAGACAAAAUGGAGACACAACUUUUAGCAAGUGAGAGAACUGGAAAAGGCUCUUCUGCUAUUGGGUUUGGGACCUGUGGGGAGAUCUGGGCAAGAACUGGGCAGAUCAUCCCGGAGGAGGAAACCACCAUCUCUUCAAAAAUUCAGCCCUGCAACUUCAGGAGCCUCCAAUACCAGGAGGCUGAGGGUCCCCGAGGACUUUGCAGCCGACUCCACAAUUUUUGUAGGCAAUGGCUGAGACCAGAAAAGCACACCAAAGCCCAGAUGCUGGACCUGGUGGUUCUGGAGCAGCUCCUGGCUCUUCUGCCCUCAGAGAUGGAGGGCUGGGUGCGGGAAUGUGGAGCAGAGACGAGCCCCCAGGCGGUGGCCCUGGCUGAAGGUUUCCUCUUGAGCCAGGCGGAGGAGCAAAAGGAGCAGGUCGAGUUGCAGUCUUUCUCUGUGGAGAUCAGAGAUCCUGAGGGAAGGAGGAAUCCAUCAAAUCCCCAUCAGGACCUGGUUUUCAGGAGGAAUCCUCAGGAAGACCCAAGUCAGGUUACCUCAAAAGAGAAACAUAGAAUGAAAUUUUCUGAUCUUUAUGGUGGAGCUGAAACAGUAGUUGAACCGCCAACUGAAGAGGGUCUUGUGUCCUUUGAGGAGGUGGCUGUGUAUUUCUCCGAGGAGGAGUGGUCUGAGUUGGCUCCUGACCAAAAAAUGCUCCAUUCGGAAGUCAUGCUGGAAAAUCACAGGAACGUGGCCUCUUUGGGUAUUAAUGGGCAAGAGAAUAGAGAUACUGAGGAACCAUUUCAAGUAUUCAAUGCUGGAGAUGAAACGCAGAAAUCUGAAAUUCAAAUGGAAAUAGAGAGUCAUGAAAGAAACCAGACAAAUAAUUGGAAUCUGGAAAGCUCAUCUCCCAUUGAUGCUCAGAUGCAAGACUUUCUUGUCCAACAAGGAAAAAUAAAGAAAAAAUAUACUGGGAAAAAUGUAAACCUAUUGAAAGACAAGUUAGAUGUAAAUGAACAUGAUCCAACAGAAAUCAAAAGAGAAGAUUAUAUAUCCAGAGACAAUGGAAACAAUUACAAUUGGACUUUCACCCUUCCUCAUGAAAAUGGCUCCCUUAUAUCUUGUAAAAAGACCCAUACAGAAGAGAAGCGAUAUAAAUGCUUGGAAUGUGGAAAGAGCUUCAGAAGAAGCAGUCAAGUUACUUCCCAUAACUGGAUCCACACUGGGGAAAAGCCAUAUAAGUGCAUGGAAUGUGGAAAAAGUUUCAGUGAGAGCCGUUCCCUUACAUCUCAUAAAUGGAUCCAUACAGGGGAGAAGCCAUAUAAAUGCAGACAGUGUGGAAAGGGGUUUGGUGAAAAUGCAUCUCUCGUGAAACAUAAAAGGAUCCACACAGGGGAGAAGCCAUAUAAAUGUACAGAGUGUGGAAAGAGCUUUAUUCAGAGCAGUCAUCUUUCUUCCCAUAAAAGGAUCCACACAGGGGAGAAGCCAUACAAAUGUAGAGAGUGCGGAAAGGGCUUUACCAAUAGCAGUCAUCUUACUUCUCAUAAAAGGAUCCACACAGGAGAGAAGCCAUAUGAAUGCACAGAGUGCGGAAAGAACUUUACAAACAGCAGUCAACUUAUUUCCCACAACUGGAUCCACACAGGGGAGAAGCCAUAUAAAUGUCUGGAGUGUGGAAAGAGCUUUACUAAUAGAAGUCAACAUACUUCUCAUAAAAAGAUCCACACAGGAGAGAAGCCAUAUAAAUGUGUGAAGUGUGGAAAAUCUUUUACUAAUAGCAGUCAACUAACUUCCCAUAACUGGAUCCACACAGGGGAGAAGCCAUAUAAAUGUCUUGAAUGUGGAAAAGGCUUCUGUCGAAGGAGUUCCUUUACUUCUCAUAAAAGGAUCCACACAGGGGAGAAGCCAUAUACGUGCAGAGAGUGUGGAAAGGGCUUUACUAACAGCGGUCAUCUUACUUCCCAUAAAAGGAUCCAUACAGGGGAGAAGCCGUAUAAAUGCAUGGAGUGUGGAAAGAGCUUCUGUGAAAAUGGGUCCCUUAUGAGACAUAAAAGGAUCCAUACAGGGGAAAAGCCAUAUAAAUGCAUAGUGUGUGGAAAGGGUUUCUGUGAAAAUGGGUCCCUUAUGAGACAUAAACGGAUCCACACAGGAGAGAAGCCGUAUAAAUGCAUAGAGUGUGGAAAGGGUUUCUGUGAAAACGGGUCCCUUAUGAGACAUAAAAGGAUCCACACAGGGGAAAAACCAUAUAAAUGUGUGGAGUGUGAAAAGGGCUUCAGCCAACAGAGUAAACUUAUUUCCCACAAAAGGAUUCACACAGGGGAGAAGCCAUAUAAAUGUCUGGAGUGUGGCAAGAUUUUUAUUCAGAGCAGUCAUCUUGCUUCCCAUAAAAGGAUCCACACAGGGGAGAAACCAUAUAAAUGUAGAGAGUGUGGAAAGAGCUUUAUUCAUAGUGGUUCUCUUACGUUCCAUAAAAGGAUCCAUUUGGGAGAGAAGCCAUAUAAAUGCGGGGAGUGCGGAAAAGGUUUCUGUGAAAAUGCUUCCCUUAUGAAACAUAAAAGAAUCCACACAGGGGAGAAGCCAUUUAAAUGUAUGGAGUGUGGGAAGGGCUUCUGUGAAAAUGGGUCCCUGCUGAGACAUAAAAGGAUCCACACAGGUGAGAAACCAUACAAGUGCAGAGAGUGUGGAAAGAGCUUCCGUCAUAGUGGUUCCCUUACUUUUCAUAAAAGGAUCCACACUGGGGAGAAACCAUAUAAAUGUUUUGAAUGUGGAAAGAGCUUCAGGCGGAGCAAUGACCUAAUUUGCCAUACACAGAUCCAUUUGAAAGAGAAUAUAUGUAAAUUUCAGAUUUAGUGUUAAACCUACGGACAUUCCUCUACUUAUAAACUUUUGGGUUACAAGCUUUUAGUGAUACAAACAAACCUGCAACUCCAACCUAGAAGGUCACAGAUGGCUAGAGAAGGUGGGAAAGGUGCAUUGCAUAUGUUUGUGGUGUGCUUUAAAGUAAUCCUUUCCUGCCUCUUUUUGAUUGCUUACUGUUCACUGUUUAGUAGUUUGGUGACUGGUGUGACUUGUAGAUACUGAAUGUGUGGAAUUAAACUUGAAUGAUGGGGAAGGGAUUAACACAGACGGCUCCAAUCCAUGAUGAUCCAACAAAGAUGGAGAUGCUGAAGAAAAUAGAGUGGGGGAAAAUAAGGAAUGUGGCAUGUUCUCAUUAUAUGAAUUACCGUAAUGAUCAUUAAGAACAUGGGGAAGAUUGUAGAACAUGUAAAAGGUUCAUGUGCCUAUGCACUCCACAGUAACCAAAAGAAGUGGAAAAGUGCGGAAGAGAUAGAGAAGCUAUGCGGCAUGUGGAGCGAAGGUAGCAUCAGUGAUGUGUGCCUAUGAGCUUAAUGCUGAUCCAGGAGAAGGCUUAGAGCUUAUUUCAUGACUUGCAACAGGAGGUUGGUAAAAGUUCUGCUGAAAAUAGGUUUGUUGCAAGACACACAUUUUAAGGCUUGUGCAUAAUGUGAAAGCGAGGUGGCAAGUAUGGAGCCAAGGAGUUCCCAAAAACCCUCAAUGAAAUUGAGGAAAAUUGUUAUUAGGAAAAUUGUUAUUAGGAAAAAAAGUGCCAGGCAAAACUUACAUCAGCAAAGAGGAGAUAAUGAUGCAAAGCUGCAAAAGACAGACUAUGUUGCCAAGUGAGCAACACCUCCGGUGAUCUAAAAUUGCUGCUAGUCUUAUCAUUCUGAGAACCUGUGAAAUCUCAAGAAAAUCUCAAAAUCUCACUUUGUUGUGUAGAAAGCUAAAAAGAAACCUUCGGUCACCCUCAUCUUGGAAGAGCUGUUUUUUUCCCAUCAUUUCAUCCUAGAAAUAUAGAAAUAAUUGCCAUGAGAAAAACAUUGCCUUCAAGAUUCUCAUUUUGGAUAAUGUCUUGGCUCAUCCAUCUCGCUUGGACAAUUUCCAUCUGGACAUGAAGGUUGGGUCUCUGCCUCCAAAUGCCAAUUUCCUCCUACCACUAUGGAUUGUGGGUUAUAGUAACUUUCAGAAAUUAACUUUUCUGAAUAUUCAGCAACAUCUACAUUGACAUCUACAAGGUUAUCAAGAAUAUUGAUGGAGCCUGGCAACUUAUAUGAAUAUGAAUGGGAUACGGGAAUGUCUGUGCCUUCAGUUUGUUCCAUGAUUUUCAAAGAUUUGAAGUGGUGGACAGGAAGUCGCACGGCAUUGUAAGCAACUUGAUUGCUUUCAUCUUGACCCGGAGAAGGUCUUUAAUGAAUUGUUAGCCACGCAUGUGGAAUAACUUCAACAGCAACCUCAUGGAGUUGUAAAAUCAGUGAAUGCAAGAGAAAAUGAUUAAUUUAAUGGAGACUCCAGACCAAGCUGAUGGCAGAGGAAUUCAGCUUGAUCAAGAAAGCCCUGCCAUGUUUGAAAUGCAGGACUGUUUUGAGCAUUUCACCAAGGUGUCUGUAGCUAUCUAAUGGUGCAAUAUAGUGCUAUAGUGUCUAUGAGGAAAAUAGAAAAGAUGAAGGCUAUCACCAAAAAUUCACUGGACCAUUUCUUCAAGAAGAUGGAGAAAUGUGCCAUUUCAACUCUGAAGGAUGAACUUAUAUUGUUGUAAUGAUUUACCACAAUCCUACUACUUAUGCAAGGUUCUUGUUGGAGGUCACUUCCAAGAAAAUGGCCACUUUAUGUAUUUUAGAUUGAGAGCCAUGCAAUUUUAUGAAGAUGUUGCCUUUGUGUUUUUACAAGUGCAUUUCCUUGUUUCUUUCCAAGACUCACUGCAGUGUUUACUGUUGGUUGUUCUUCCCACUAGAUCCUGGUUUUAAGAGGAAUGCUGCCUCCCCAGGCAAUAAAAUAGAAUAGAAUAACAGAGUUGGAAGGGCUCUUGGAGGUCGUCUAGUCCAACCUCCCUGCUUAAGAAGGAGCUACAUCUCCCUUAUGCUGCUGUUCAAGACAAAGCUUUACUAUGUUUAUUCCUCUAUAGCAGACAGGCAGACAGAAAUUCAACAGACACUUCCCACAAUUUAAACUUUCCUUCUUUUGUCUAUUCUCCUUACAAUUGUUUCCACCUUCCUUAAUAUAUUCAGUUUAUCAGAUGACCAUAUACUUCGCUGUUGUCACAAGUUGGACAUGAUGCAGGAGAGAGAUUCUGUGGUCUGAAGGGAUAUUAUAAUCCAAAGGGAACUCAAAGUUCCAUCAAAAUAUACAGAGAAAUAGAUUGUGAUAAGGUAGUCCUUCAUUUAUGAUGUAAUUGAACCUGGAAUUAUGGUUGUUACAUCAUUGCAUUUUAGUCAUGUCAUCACAUGACCAAACAUUUUUGGCACUUUUUCUGGUUGUCAUUAAGCAAAUAAUGAUCAUUACGUGAAUCCAUUUUACCCACUGAACAUGUAGAAACCAGCAAAAAAAUCAAAAGUCACAAUUAUGUGACCAUGCCAAGUGCCCAGAUUGUGAUAACAUAACUUGGGGGACAGGGGCAGCCAUUGUAACUUAGUUGUGAGUAGCUUUGAGGGGAGGGGUUACAAUGUAAUUUCAAAAAUUCACUAACAACCAGUCCUAAACCUAGGAUUACCUGCAUUAAACUGCCCAUUGAAUAAAAGUGACAACAGGAUUUGUGCUUUGAAUUUCCUUCCUUCCCUUGGAAAAAAUGAGAUUUUGCUAAGAAAGAGAUUCCAAAGCAAAAAUGAGGAGAUAAAGGCAUGAAUUGCCCUCACAGUGAUAUAACCAGGCCAAUAAGUAACAAAUCCUUUGACGAAACUUUUUAUCUGAUUAAUAUACGGUAUACCUGGUAUGUCUCAAUAAGACAAAACUUGAUCAACAUUUCUUCCACUAGAGCAGGAAUUUGCAGGCAAGAUUCAUUUAAUCCUCUAUCUAUCCCCUCUGUAAAUACAUCUUUUCUUCCUUUGCUUAAUCUUGUUAAUCUUAAUCUGUUUUUUUCCACCCCGAUUUCUGGUUGAUGUGAUGAUGUUAUCCAUUCAAUUAUGUCCGACUCUUGAUGAUCCUAUGGGCCAGGUCUCAUAGGUUGAUCACAUUUUCCAAUCUUGUACUUUUUUAAGUUGAUUUAUGCUCUGCCUGGUAUCAGUUUUGAUGGUGAUCAGCCAUCGUGUUCUUCGGUGGCCUGGCUUUCUUUUACUGCUAAUUCUUCCAAACAUAACUGCUUUCUCCAGUUAACUGCCCCACAGUGUGGAAAAGAACAAGGAGCUGAGUGGGGAUGUAGGGAAGAGUCAGGGUGGGGUGUAUGGGAAAUAUGUGGGAUUGGGAAGAUGUGUGGGUGAGUGUGAGAGACACCAUGCGAGUCAGGGUGCACAAGGGUACACAAGAUGGCUGGUUUAGUGAUGAUAUGCAAGGUUAUGUGAGGCACUACAUGGUGUGGCGUGGAUGUGUAGGGAUAUGCAAAAAGAAAUAUUUUGUUCAGAGAGGAUAAGGUUGUACAAAUGGCACCACACUGAGAUGGCAUACCUACGCAUGAGUUGCAUCUGACUCACUACUUUCUGGUGGAUUCUCCACUAUUUUGGUUGAGGACCAUCAGAUUCAGUUAAAAAUGGCAACCAGGACUGUUGUUUCUAAAAGAUGCAGUAAUGCCUUGUGACCACAUUGUUUAAAGAUAGAAAUUUUGGUCCCAACUGCUGUCAUAGAUGGAGGACUGCCUGUAAUAAAUAUAGGACGUAAUACCUAUGUUGUUAUUUUAGAUAGCUCUUAUUGGACUUGCUGAUUAAUAUGUAGAGAUAAAUAUUUAGAAAUAAAGAAUAAGGUGAGGUAUGGAGUGAAGAAAUGUUCAGCUGUAUUUUAAAAGUGAUAAGUCAUUAGUAUUGGUUAUACAUAUUGGGGACUAGAAGAAGGAAAUCUGUUUUUCUGUCUUUCUUUUCUGCAGUUUUAAUUUUUUAAAAACAUAUUUCUGUACAAUAUACUUUGUAUAAUAUAAUAUUCAAUAAAAUUACGGGGGGGGAAAGCUAAUAAUAAAGCGUAAAAUUUUGUAUGACACAAACACACACAGGACCUGUCAUUUCAAUACCAUGGCAAUCCUAAUACCAGUUUAGAAAAAGCAAGAUUAUCUUCUUUUACAGAACACUGCUGAAUACUAUUUCCUGGCUCUUCCUUCCCUCUGUCUAAGCAGGGAUGUUAACUUUUUUCUAUAAACUUUCUUAAAAAUACUUUCUUGGAAACUGAUCAAGAAGAGAUUCAACCUAGAAAUAGGGAGAAAUUUUCUGACAGUGAGAACAAUCAACCAAUGGAACUGCUUGCCUUCAAUAGUUGUGGGAGCCUCAUCACUGGAAGCUUUCAAGAAGGGACAGAACUGCUAUUUGUAAGAAAUGGUGUAGGUUCUCCUGCUUGGGGAGGGAAGGCAGCUUGGACUAGAUCAGGGGUCUCCAACCUUGGCAACUUUAAGCCUGGAGGACUUCAACUCCCAGAAUCCCCCAGCCAGCAUCUAGAAGACCUACAAGAUCCCUUCCAACUCUGUUAAAUCUGUUGCAGAUGGAUUUAAAGUUGAAAAAAAGCAGUUAUAUUCAGAAGGCUUUCUGAACUGGGGGGGACACGACCAUCUCCUAUGGAAAAUGCUCUGCAUGAGGACCUGUAUUGCAUACAGCAUCCGCCAGGGAGCGGGCUUGGCCAAGACAAUGGUAUAUCAGAUGCUUCAGGUUGCCUUAAAUUCAGUAAUGGUCUUAAAAGUUUCCAAUUCUUAUUUCCCCUAUGAGGU